CCGCGGGCAGGAACCCCGGGCGGGCAGCGCAGGAACCGCGGGCAGGAACCCCGGGCAGCUUUAUGUUUCAGAGUCAUUCUGAUUAUGGAGCACUGACACAAAAGAAGCUUUUCUGGAAUGGAGGUAGUGUUACAGAUUCGGUGGAAGUGAGGGGGUGUGAAGCCCUCGGUCUGCUGCUGCCUGUGAGCCAUGAGCACGGGAUGGGCUGAACAGUCUUGCCCCGAGGGUAACCUCCAAGCAAAGUCUGCUGCUGAGGUGUAUUUAAGGACCAACAGCAUUUAUACAGAAGUACCAUAUACACUAAAUAAAUUUUCCCUGUUUAAAUGGGACUUACUUGUUCAGGUGCCUCAUCUUUAAAAUUAGUUCUUAACUACUUCCUUUUUACCUGAAGACUUUGCUUUUCCUGCUCCAGCUUCAGAAAUGCCAUUCCCAGCAUGCUGCUUGGCACCCAUCUGCCUUCUCAAACCCUAAAC